GUCUUUUUGUAAUAUAUUUAAAGUCUAACCUGCUCAAUGAUAUAUUAAAUGGCUGCGGUAUUUUGACCGUACUAAGGUAGCAUAAUCAUUAGUUUUUUAAUUAAAAGCUGGAAUGAAAGGUUGAAUGAAAAAAUAACUGUCUAUUUUUAAUUAUUUUAAAAUUUUAUUUUUAAGUUAAAAAGCUUAAAUUUGAUUGAAAGACGAGAAGACCCUAUAGAGUUUAAUUUUUAAAUUAUAGAAAAAUAUAUAGGAUUUAUAUUUAUAUAUAAUUUAAAAAUUUAAUUGGGGUGAUUAAAAAAUUUAAUGAACUUUUUUUAUAUUUUAAUAUAAUUUAGUAGUUUAAUGAUCCAAUUUUUUUGAUUAAAAGAAAAAAUUACCUUAGGGAUAACAGCGUAAUUUUAUUUUAUAGUUCUAAUUGAAAAUAAAGAUUGCGACCUCGAUGUUGGAUAAAAUUUAAUUUUAGUGCAAAA
rnacentral:rRNA from 1 species